rnacentral:rRNA from 1 species
UAGGGAAUAUUGGUAAUGGGCGAAAGCCUGAACCAGCAACGCCGCGUGUGCGAUGAAGGUCUUCGGAUCGUAAAGCACUUUUUGAGGGGAUGAGAAUGGACAGUACCCUCAGAAUAAGUCUCGGCUAACUACGUGCCAGCAGCCGCGGUAACACGUAGGAGACAAGCGUUAUUCGGAUUUACUGGGCGUAAAGCGCGUGCAGGCGGUUCGGUAAGUUGGAUGUGAAAGCUCCUGGCUCAACUGGGAGAGGUCGUUCAAUACUGUCGGACUAGAGGAUGGGAGAGGGAGGUGGAAUUCCGGGUGUAGUGGUGAAAUGCGUAGAUAUCCGGAGGAACACCAGUGGCGAAAGCGGCCUCCUGGCCCAAACCUGACGCUCAGACGCGAAAGCUAGGGGAGCAAACGGG